rnacentral:rRNA from 1 species
UACGAAGGGGACUAGUGUUGUUCGGAUUUAUUGGGCUUAAAGAGCUCGUAGGCGAUCUUUUAAGUAAAAUGUGAAAGCUCUAGGCUUAACCAAGAAAUUGCAUUUUAUACUGAUUGAAUUGAGUUUGAUAGGGGAAAGCAGAACUUCUAGUGUAGAGGUGAAAUUCAUAGAUAUUAGAAGGAAUAUCAAAAGCGAAGGCAGCUUUCUGGAUCAUAACUGACGCUGUUGAGCGAAAGCGUGGGGAGCAAACAGG